UUCAAAUAUAUCUUGUUUACCGUUGGGGUUUCAUGGCGUAGUGACAGUCUUGGGAACCCAGUGUGUGUGGGAUGCCAGCGGUCAUAUCCCAUACAAAAUACAAUAAAUAAAUAACGCCAUGAAAAUAAUUGACAUCAUAAUUCUUUAAUAUAUACUGGCGUGAACAUAAGGUGGUUAAAUAGAGCAACUUUACAAAAAUGAUGGGGAAGAUGGGGAAAUAGACCAACUUUAAAAAAAAGAAAAAGGGCCCUCGUGGCCCAGUGGGUAGAGUGAUGCACUUUGAGUUUGGCGUGAGGGAAGUGAGGGGCGCGUAGGUUCGAACCCCCCUCUCGGAACUCACAAAAACCUUGAAAGAGCAUCCCUCCAUCACCAUGUGUGAUGGAACUGCCCACGGGGAGGAGGGGAGGUGAGUGCGCAGCACCUCCCUACCCCUCCCCAGGGGAGGAAGGCACCGCCUUACCGGCCCCCGGGAGAGCAAGGGAGGUGAGUGCACAGCGCUUCCCUUCUCUCCCCUACCUAACCCUGGGAAGUCUACGGACUACCAGGCAAAAAAUAAUAAAAAUAAAAAAAUAAAUAAAAACACAAAAGAAAAAAAUAAAUAAAGGUGAGUGCAUAGCACUUCCCUUCUCUUCCAACCAACCAGGCAAAAAACAGAAAAAAAUAAAUAAAUAAAGAAUUAAGGUGAGUGCAUAGCACUUCCCUUGUCUCUUAACUUACCACGCAAAAAAAAAAAAAUAAUAAAUAAAAAUAAAUAAAUAAAUAGAUAAAAAUAAAUAAAAACCUCCUUACCAUCUCGGACCUCGGGAGAGCAAGGGAGGUGAGUGCACAGCACUUCCCUUCUCUCCCCAAGUCUACGGACUGCCAGACAAAAAAAAAAAAUAUAUAUAUAUAGGUAUAAAAAAAAAAAAUAAUAAUAAUAAAUUAAGUAAAAAAAAUAAGUAAAUAAAACAAAAAACAAUAAAACUCCUAGUCGCACGUCAAUAAAACUGACUGAGUCUGGUAAUCAACAAUAAAUAAUAAAAAUAAAACAAUACCAACUGACUGACCCUGACAACCCCAAAGACCACCACCCCACCUGGGAAGCACGGGAGGUGAGUGUGCAGCACCUCCCUACCCUUCCCAGUCUCCCAGCUUGACUUUGACCACCAAUCUGACUCAUCCUACCAACUCCAAAGAGCAACUCCAACUGUACAGACCACCACCACCACCACCCUUCUGAUCUCGGCAAGGUGAGUGCGUAGCACUUCCCUGGACUGACCCUGACUGACUGACCCUGGCAACUCCAAAAACAACCAACCUGACUGACUUACAGAUAUGUAAUCACCUAACUGACUGGCCCUGGGGAGCAUGGGAGGUGAGUGUGCAGCACCUCCCUACCCUUCCCAGUCUCCCAGUUUGGCUUUGACCACCAAUGUGACUCAUCCUACCACUCCAAAUGUACAGACCACCACCACCACCCUUCUGAUCUUGGCAAGGUGAGUGCCUAGCACUUCCCUUGACUGACUGGGCCUGACUGACUGACCCCGGCAACUCCAAAAACAACCAAUCUGACAAAUGUUACAAAUGUAACCUGGGGAGCAUGGGAGGUGAGUGUGCAGCACCUCCCUACCCUUCCCUACCCUUCCUAAAAUAAAUAAAAAAAUAAAUAAAUAAAUAAAAACAAAAAUAAAUAAAGUAAAAACAAUAAAACUCUUACUUCCCCCUCAAUAAACUGACUGAGUCUGGCAAUCAACAAUAAAUAAUAAAAAUAAAACAA